rnacentral:piRNA from 1 species
UACUUAUAUAGUAGUUGAACC